rnacentral:rRNA from 1 species
UACGUAGGGUGCAAGCGUUGUCCGGAAUUAUUGGGCGUAAAGAGCUUGUAGGCGGUUUGUCGCGUCUGCUGUGAAAUUUCGGGGCUCAACCCCGAACUUGCAGCCGAUACGGGCAGGCUAGAGUUCGGUAGGGGAGACUGGAAUUCCUGGUGUAGCGGUGAAAUGCGCAGAUAUCAGGAGGAACACCGGUGGCGAAGGCGGGUCUCUGGGCCGAUACUGACGCUGAGGAGCGAAAGCGUGGGGAGCGAACAGG